rnacentral:rRNA from 1 species
AUUGAACGCUGGCGGCAUGCCUUACACAUGCAAGUCGAACGGCAGCACGGGUGCUUGCCCCUGGUGGCGAGUGGCGAACGGGUGAGUAAUACAUCGGAACAUGUCCUGUAGUGGGGGAUAGCACGGCGAAAGCCGGAUUAAUACCGCAUACGAUCUACGGAUGAAAGCGGGGGACCUUCGGGCCUCGCGCUAUAGGGUUGGCCGAUGGCUGAUUAGCUAGUUGGUGGGGUAAAGGCCUACCAAGGCGACGAUCAGUAGCUGGUCUGAGAGGACGACCAGCCACACUGGGACUGAGACACGGCCCAGACUCCUACGGGAGGCAGCAGUGGGGAAUUUUGGACAAUGGGCGAAAGCCUGAUCCAGCAAUGCCGCGUGUGUGAAGAAGGCCUUCGGGUUGUAAAGCACUUUUGUCCGGAAAGAAAUCCUUGGCCCUAAUACGGUCGGGGGAUGACGGUACCGGAAGAAUAAGCACCGGCUAACUACGUG